UUCAGUCAUUUGAACUGAAAACAUCGUUACUUGCAAUCAACACGUGUUAUAGAGCACUGGAAAUAUUGCAAUCGACCUUCAUCAGUAAGAAAACAUGGUGCAUUGUACUGCCUAUAGUACACGUACAGGUAUUAUGGAAGUAUCCUCGUUUCGUAGUUCAGAGUAGAAUACCGGGAAUACUGCCUCCAUGUUUGUCACUGUUCAAUGGAAAACUUCGAUUUUGUGGAAAUAACUUGAUAUAUUUGGAAACAUGCCUCACAUACAGUUGCAGUUAAAUAACAUGGAGAACAAUUUUCGAUAUUCCGUGGAUCAAGUUUGAGGUCCUCAAUAAGCGAUCGGUCUUGAGCAACGACAGACGACUGGUUGAAGCGGCAUGACUCCCCAUGUGUGGUCCUUCUUCUCCACUAUAGAGCAUUCAAAGGGAGAAGGAAGUGGACGAUGUCCUCUAACCGGAUUCUGUAUGACUGACUACUGAACAGGGAGAAGGAAGUGGACGAUGUCCUCUAACCGGAUUCUGUAUGAUUGACUACUGAACAGGGAGAAGGAAGUGGCCAAUGUCCUCUAACCUUCUACCAAUGGUGUGUAGAAAGAUUUGGAGAACUAACAGAUUUUGCAGCUAUUGAGCCCGAGGGUCUAAAAUGAUGAAUUGGGAAAUUUUUUAUGCAGAAGCAACUCCACAAUCAAGCAGAAAAAAGGAAAGAAAAGAAAAGGCCAAUCCAAUGUCAACAGAACAAGCUUCUCAGUACAAUAAAUUCAUACAAAUCAAUUUGCUCUGGCAUCAACAGACACCUGCAGGAUUUGGGGAGGGAAAUAGAUAUUGUUCGGGGAAGAGAAUUCA